CACGUAGGGCGCAAGCGUUGUCCGGAAUUAUUGGGCGUAAAGAGCUCGUAGGCGGUCUGUUGCGUCUGCUGUGAAAACUCGGGGCUUAACCCCGAGCCUGCAGUGGAUACGGGCAGACUAGAGGUAGGUAGGGGAGAAUGGAAUUCCCGGUGUAGCGGUGAAAUGCGCAGAUAUCGGGAGGAACACCGGUGGCGAAGGCGGUUCUCUGGGCCAUUACUGACGCUGAGGAGCGAAAGCGUGGGGAGCGAACAGG
rnacentral:rRNA from 1 species